CAGUCGCCACGGUAAUACGUAGGUGGCAAGCGUUGUCCGGAAUUAUUGGGCGUAAAGGGCUCGCAGGCGGUUUCUUAAGUCUGAUGUGAAAGCCCCCGGCUCAACCGGGGAGGGUCAUUGGAAACUGGGAAACUUGAGUGCAGAAGAGGAGAGUGGAAUUCCACGUGUAGCGGUGAAAUGCGUAGAGAUGUGGAGGAACACCAGUGGCAAAGGCGACUCUCUGGUCUGUAACUGACGCUGAGGAGCGAAAGCGUGGGGAGCGAACAGGAUUAGAUACCCCUGUAGUCCCUGUCUCUUAUAC
rnacentral:rRNA from 1 species